UACGUAGGGCGCAAGCGUUGUCCGGAAUUAUUGGGCGUAAAGAGCUCGUAGGCGGCUUGUCACGUCGGGUGUGAAAGCCCGGGGCUUAACCCCGGGUCUGCAUUCGAUACGGGCUGGCUAGAGUGUGGUAGGGGAGAUCGGAAUUCCUGGUGUAGCGGUGAAAUGCGCAGAUAUCAGGAGGAACACCGGUGGCGAAGGCGGAUCUCUGGGCCUGUCCUGACGCUGAGGCGCGAAAGCGUGGGGAGCAAACGGG
rnacentral:rRNA from 1 species